UACGUAGGGUGCAAGCGUUUGUCCGGAAUUAUUGGGCGUAAAGAGCUUGUAGGCGGUUUGUCGCGUCUGCUGUGAAAUUUCGGGGCUCAACCCCGAACUUGCAGUGGGUACGGGCAGACUAGAGUGUGGUAGGGGAGACUGGAAUUCCUGGUGUAGCGGUGAAAUGCGCAGAUAUCAGGAGGAACACCGAUGGCGAAGGCAGGUCUCUGGGCCACUACUGACGCUGAGAAGCGAAAGCAUGGGGAGCGAACAGGA
rnacentral:rRNA from 1 species